CGGGAAACGCCAGACCCCCUCAGCCCUAACUGGAUUAGGAACCAGCCAACGGAUGGGCCGCGGGACAGAACUCACUGGUCCAAGCACUUAAGAACACGCAACAAUAAAAAUCUCAACAAAUCUUCCAUGAAACCCUGCGAGCCCGGACAAAUCAGCCCACAGCCUCCCGCCUGGCCGCACGGCGCCACAUCCGCUGGCUUGGCCUCAGUUCUCAGUGCUCCUUCUGACCACCCGACAAGAGCCAUCCUGAAGUUUGACCCAAAGGCUGCAGGCUGGAGACUACCACGAUGAAAGCCCCGCACUCAAUGGCUUGACACCAUCGCGGACAAACUCCAACAACACGGAGUUACCUUGAAGGAUACAAAUCUGCUGGCACAAGACCGCCAGUACUGGAGGGGCCUAACUCACCUAGUGGCCGCCACGCUCACCCCGCCAAUGCAUCUGAGAUCUCUGUACUUCAUCUGUGCUGUGGAAGGCCAUUGAUAGCACAGAUAAGUAACAUCCUAUUUUAUAGCUCUUUUGUGUCACGUAAUUCAUGAGGUGAGUUUGCAAAGGAUGUCUUGUUCAGUUUAUCUGUUGCUCUACAAAGAAUUGCUGGAUGAAAAAGCAUAAAUCCUCAUAUUAAUAUACUUAGUUGUGAGAAUGUUAACUCAUUCACUACUAAAACAUCAUGUCACAGGACAAGCGCCACAGAAAAGUUAGAUUCACAUCUUUCAUCAAUUGUUCUUUAAUUAGGAGCAGUUGAACAUCCUAAACAACAUUGUACAUGUCUUUGUUAGUGGGUGAGUUAAGCUGUUGUUGUGUAUGCCUACUGAGACUUUUGCAGGUAGUCCCAGUUUUACGAAUAAGUUCCGUUCCUGCGCUGGCGAUGUAGCCUGGAUUUCCACGUAAAUCGGAUUUUACCCUUAAAAUGCCUUAAAACACCCUCUAAAUUUAUUGUACUGUCCUUGCCAAGACGUUGGAGUCCUAGCUAAACAGUGAGCUAAGCACCGAAAUGACGAUGUCAAACGUCUGUGUGGUUUGCUGACUUCAGCUGCUCAUGACGUCAACACUUGCAGAAUGAAACUAAAAUAAAAUGAAAUUAAAGCAGUCUCAUCUUCAAUAAUAUUAAUUCAAAUUUGCGUUUACAAGUAGCUGCUGAUACAUAAAUUACAAACGAUAAAUGUAUCAGUUACCAUCCGCACAUCCUCAAAAACAAUCACAUGAACUCGCCCCAAGUUUUCGACUGCAAUGCCGUAUGGCAAGCAACACGUCACUUCCGCUCAUUAAUAUUCAUGACAUUAGCUACUGUUGCUAAAGAGGGACACGUGACCGUUUGUCCCUAAUGGGAAAUGAAUGGAAAUCGUGUAUGAAGGAGAUGUCUACAGAGCUAAACCUACCAAUUCUCUCCGAAAAUGAUGUCCCUGGUUCCAAAUUCACUGACAAAGAAGUAGAAGAACAUAAAAAUGUUCGGUCAAAGAAAUGGCUUCAGUGUCGAAGGCUGAAAAAGACGAAAAAAACGAGCCGACCGAAGCAUAGCCUUAGCUUUUUUAUCGACACGACUGAUAAUGACAUUCUCCUUUUUUAACAAGCUAUCAUUUACCAUCAGCCCUGUCUUUCUUAUAUAUCCUCUGGUUGUCCUACGUUUCUGACCGUUCUUGGGGGUAAUUUAGUUAGCUUUGUGUAGCGAUCGCAAAUGCUACUCAGUGACAGCCAACGAACACUUAACUUUUUUCAUUGAUAACAAUAAUUAAUAAUAAUAAUUCUAUAAUCCAUUUACACUUCCCCCUUACUAAAGUUUUUUUUUUUUUUUUUUUUUUGAUAACAGAAACAGUAACAGUGGCAGUCAGAUACCAUUGUAAUGCUUUUCAGGUCAUUCAUUGUCAGACAGAAGCAGUACGGCACAACGUUACACUAAAAAAUAAGUUAAAAAUAUAAAAAUGGCUUACCUCUUUGUUCUCUGAAAGACUAUGCCAACCCAACAAAAUGUUUACUGCAUAUGAAAUGUGAAUGGAUUCACCGAGCUGGUGUUAACGUCCGCGCAAGUUGAUUCGGUCUUCAAAUUUUUUCCUCCCGAGUUUUUGGUUUCCGGAAACGUAUGAAGAAAACAUCCUUAAUAUGUCGUAAUGUCCUGAGUCGUUUCUACAAGUUCCAAAAAAGCGAUGUGUGAUCAGCAUGUUCGUUUUUUAAAGAUUACCGGAGAAAAGUCGCACAAAUUACGUUGUUUCUAGUCGAGGGCAGGUCGAUAAUGUCCCACUUUGGCUUUACUUCCGCUUUACGAUGCGACGUCACGGUCUAAAAAUAGCAUGCGUGCGGUACGCCAUUGGAAAUACACAAUAACAGUACAAAAGGGGUUAAAUAAAACUGUCGACUCUGGCGGCUUCACAAGCAACAACUGUGUGCGCAGGCUGUCACCUCUGUCAUUUGGAUGCUCUGUAUGUGCAUGUGUGCGAUGGGAGCGUCUGUACAUGUGCCUCUUCCUGUUCUACGCUCCCUACGCCAAAAUAAAAACAUAUAUCAAAAAACAAAAGUCCACAUUUAAAAAAAACAAAACAAAAAACGACAAGACCUAGGUGUCGUAAAAUCAAAAUCGUGUAAGCCCAGUCCGCCAUAACCCGGGGACUACCUGUAUAGUGGUGUGUCUAUCAAGUCACAGGCACCAUUGCGCUAUUGGUAAUUAAUUGAGCAGGACACACAAUCAAACACAAUAUCAAUCGGGGUCAACUGGAUUGCAAUUCUUUAUGUCUAGCCACACCCAGGUUUUUCAGGCAUUUUAAUUCAUUUCAAGCAGCAAUAUUAACAUGGUAGAUUACUUAAUCAACAUAAAAAACACAUUUACCACAAACAAAUUAAUGAAGUUCAUGUGUUUGUGUAUUUAUGAAAAAAAAAAAUGUUGCUCUAAUUCCCACAAAUGCCACUCUCUUACACACAGUUACAUGCAUGCUUUUGUCUGCCGACUCAUGAGCUCAGACGAUUCCGAGUGCUAUAAUGAUUUUGGUUGGGUUGCUCCUUCUUCUCUCUAGAGUGCUUUAUUGAAAGGUGUUGGCUUGCAUUACCCUAUCUCAAGCUCCAGGAGCCUGGCCAAGACAUAGCCGAGCCGGCACCCCGGCUGCAGCUAGACACCAUCCCGGUUUAUCAACAUAGGAGGCGAGCACACUGUCAAGUAUUUACACAGGGAUUGCCACAACCAUAUCCUUCCACCCUAAAAACCUGUUCUGAAGUAGAAUUACUGGUAAGUUCAUGUCCACAAUGUGGACACAUGCCCAUGACAAGUUCGUCCACUCUUUGAAGCUUAAAGUUCAUAUGACAUGACAAAAAAAAGAAAUCUUAAAUACCGCGGAUUUAGGAUUGAGCCCAAUGGAGGAGGAAGCAUUUUUCAGCGAUUCUAGUUCUAGUGUAGAUUUUUCGAAUGAUAUUGUCGACCCAGAAAAAAGUAUAGGACAUACAGUUUGAGUCGUAUUUGGAGGAGGAGGAAAAUUCAGAAUGCGAAAAAGGCGACAGAGACAACAAGCACGAGUCUGAUGACUAAAGCAGACUGCAUGAGCAACACUAAAUGUCAAUGCCUUUCGAACACGAAAAAUCACACAAAACUACGCCGACUCAUGUCACACACAGCGGCGGGACUGAUUGCCUUCACCGAUCGGCCAGCUUCCGGCGGCUAGCAACUUUCAGCGGACUAUUACAGGUUGUCAUUCCCCUUCUGCGGCACUGGCAAGCAGUCCCGCGCGAGUGCUCGUCGCCAAGGACGGAGCAGGGGAAUGAACACCAAAAAUGGCUCAUUCUCGACAGACAAACCGACCAACAUUGGGCAGCUUGUCACAUGCCAUGGUUGCCGGCCAAUGAAUGCAAGCACGCCCUGCUUCACUGGCCGAGGGCAAGCAUUGUCACCCACAAAAUGCAACCCACCUCCUUAUCAAAACGUGUACCAUGAUCACAGUAUUUGACAUACUAUAAAACAGGUAUCUUACUCGUGUCCUCUUCCGUCCAAUGGUCCCUCGAUUGUCGGAAUUGCUUUGCCCAUUCUUUGCAGUGAACAGGAUCUUUUGGAAACCCAAAAGGUCUCACACCACUCUCCCUGGUGUAGCAACAAAGGCCUGCAGCACAUUGGGCCGGCAUGACGUGAAAAAUAAACUAAUUAAUCCGCAUAAUCAGCUGAAUCCACAAUCCUUCUGCUUUCAGUGGUUUGACUGUAUAGUGAAGAUGAUCUCACUCUCUGACGUCACAUCCGCCUUCUUCCUUAACCCUAGAAUC